GCCGGGAUGCUGGAAGAGGCAGACAGGGGCGACUUAAAAUCGCUUGCCCGAGAGGGCGUGGGGGUUCGAGGCCCCCUCCCGGCACCA
rnacentral:tRNA from 1 species